AAGUGUUACAGCUCUGUUAGAAUUUGUCUUGCAGGUUUUCUGGUCUCUAACAGAAGAGCCCUC
ensembl:snRNA U7 U7 small nuclear RNA